rnacentral:rRNA from 1 species
AGCGACGGUGACCGGAGCUUGCUCUGUGGGAUCAUUGGCGAACGUUUGAGUAACACGUGAGCAACCUGCCCCUGACUCUGGGAUAAGCGCUGGAAACGGCGUCUAAUACUGGAUAUGUGACGUGACCGCAUGGUCUGCGUUUGGAAAGAUUUUUCGGUUGGCGAUGGGCUCGCGGCCUAUCAGCUUGUUGGUGAGGUAAUGGCUCACCAAGGCGUCGACGGAUAACCGGCCUGAGAUGAUGACCGGCCACACUGGGACUGAGACACGGGCCAGACCCCUACCCUAUCCCUCCUCGGCGAAUAUUGCGCACUGGACAGAAGCCUGCUGCAUCAACGUUCCGCGAGAGAUGAGGGCCUUCGGGCUGUACACCUCUUUUACCAAUCUACACUACAAAGUGACAGUCCCUGCGUACCAACUGCCGGCUAACUACGUGCCCUCGGCCGCGGUAAUACGUACGCGACAAACCGUUAUCCGAGAAUCUAUUGGGCCGUAAUAGAGCUCGGAUAACGCUUUGUCGCCUACUGCUGUAGAAAUCGCUGAGUGCUCAACCUCGUAGCCUGCAGCGUUUUCUGGCAGACUAGAGUGCUUCACUUCUAGAUUGGAAAUCCAGGUGUACCACCGGAAUGCCCACAUCCCCUCAAGCAACACUGAUGCAUCAGGCUUAUCUCUGUUGCGCAAUAGACGCUGAUGAGGCAUCGGGUGGGAAUCAGGGACGCGUAUAAACCCCGGUGUGCCCCCCCACACAUCUCUGGCCACUAAUUGGGUCGACCCCUUGCAGAGACUUUAUGACGCAGACUAAAGCUGAUAAGUUGCGAGCCUGGCCACUACCGGAAGAAUGUUUCAAACUCAAAACAAUGGACGCACACCACAUAUAGGGUGAAGAAUGCGUAUCAAGUGCUUAUCACCGAGUCAAGCCUUAGCUAGCUCUUGUGUUACUCAACCAGUGCGCACAGAUGGCUAAAUCUUAGCUCCCUGGUAACGGUGGAGUUGUGUG